ensembl:misc_RNA Metazoa_SRP Metazoan signal recognition particle RNA
GCCAGGUGUGGUGGUGCACACCUGUAAUCUCAGCACUUUGGGAGGCUGAGGUGGGAGGAUUGCUUGAGCCCAGGAGUUCGAGACCAGCCUGGGCAACAUAGUGAAACCCUGCCUCUA